GGUGGAUACAAACAUGAAGGAUUUAACCAAAUCAUCUUACCAGUGAGCAAAUCUGAACCAAAGAAACUUACCGUAAAUAACUUACCCAGGUGAACCACCAUCCAGGGAAGGGUAGGAGGGAUAAUAUUCGCCUCCGUGUUAUUAAUAAAAUCAUGACUUUACGUCAUGUAAAUAGUAAAAUCUGGUAAUUUUAUUAAGACACGGAGGCUCCUAUUAUGCUGGUUUAAAGCUGU